ACGCUUAUUGGCUUACCAAAACAAAACCACUAAUUACUUCCUAUUUCUGGUAAAGCUAAAAAAUGACUGACGCCACUGUUGAAAAGUUGAUUACAAUGAAUAGCAGAAAUACUUCACCUCGCAACAAAUGCGAAAAUAAAGCGGCACCUUUGAAGUUAAAUUGAGUGCGGUUUCGAAAUUCCAGAGUCUAUGGUUAUUAUAAAGUAGAUUUGAAACGAUAUCAGUGAAAAAAAACUCAAGCUUCAGAAAUGCGGACUAGUUUGCUAUUUUUCCUGGUUGCAGUUCUUUUUCUGCUCAUCAUCCAAUUUAUAGAAGCAUCGCCCGUUUUGAAAAGGUCUGAAAGGAAAGUUCACUCCUUUACUCUACUUGCUGGUUUCGGCCCUCAUUCUAGGCCACAGACUGGAAAUACGAGAUCCAAAAAAGCUGCAAAGAACAGGAAAAGCUCCAGUAAAUGCCCGGAGGGUUAUAAAUGGGAUCCCUAUUUCAAAAAAUGCCGAAAGCUUGGAUGUGCUUUGCCAGGCUAUGUGAUACGUAACGGGAGAUGUGUCAGAGGUUGAUUUUGUAUUUCUUUGGCAAUAAAAUAAUUUCUGUUCAAA